CAGAAGGGGAAGAAAGGCCCAGAGUCCGCCCCCCGCUGCGGCCUGCGCCCUACGUCACCACGUCCGGCGUAGUCGUCACCGCGUCCUGCGCCCGGCGCUUCUGUGCUUCCUGUGUGCCUGUCUCCACGCCUGCAGACCCCCCCUGCGUGUUCACCCACCUACCCCGUGCGUUCACUCACGCUCUCAACUCUGUCGCUUCCGCUCCGUUACCUAGGCCUUCAGCCGCCAAUCCAGAUCCACUGCGCCCUUAGUUCACCCGAAACAGAUCAAGCCUGUCAGAGUUACCCUUGAUUUAAACAUGAUACUAAUAACUGAAAUUUUUAAGUUUACAGAGUACUUUCAAAAUAGCCUUUCACCUAGGACUGUAACUCCUGCUCCCAAAACAGGAUAUAUGGAGUACAUACUUGUAGUAUAAAUGGAUAAAGAUCAGGUAGUAGCUGUUUGUAAGGCCUCCUCAGACAACCAUUCGGAAGAAUAGCAAGGAGAGAUAAGAAAGCCUUCCUCAGCAAUCAGUGCAAAGAAAUAGAGGAAAACAAUGAAUGGGAAAGUCUAGAGAUCUCUUCAAGAAAAUUAGAGAUACCAAGGGAACAUUUCAUGCAAAGAUGGGCACAAUAAAGGACAGAAAUAGUAUGGACCUAACAGAAGCAGAAGAUAUUAAGAAGAGAUGGCAAGAAUACACCAAAGAACUAUACAAAAAAGAUAAUCAUGACCCAGAUCAUCACGAUGGUCUGAUCACCAUCCUAGAGCCAGAUAUCCUGGAGUGUGAAGUCAAGUGGGCCUUAGGAAGCAUCACUAGUGAACAAAGCUAGUGGAGGUGAUGGAAUUCCAAUUCAGCUAUUUCAAGUCCCAAAAGAUGCUGCUCCUGUGAAAGUGCUGCACUCAAUAGGCCAGCAAAUUUGGAAAACUCAGCAGUGGCCACAGGACUGGGAAAGGUAUGAAAAAAGAAGAAGAGGGACUUCCCCAGCAGUCCAGUGGUUCAGACUGUGUGCUUCAGUGCAGGGGGUGAAGGUUCCAUUCCUGAUCGGGAAACUAAAUUCCCAUACGCUUUAUGGCAAAAAAAAAAAGAAGAAGAAGAAAAGAUGAGCCCCUGUUGAAGAGCUAAUAAACUGUGAC
ensembl:lncRNA